rnacentral:misc_RNA from 1 species
GAUGAAGAACGUAGCGAAAUGCGAUAAGUAAUGUGAAUUGCAGAAUUCAGUGAAUCAUCGAAUCUUUGAACGCACCUUGCGCCCUUUGGCUAUUCCGAAGGGCAUGCCUGUUUGAGUAUCGUGAACACCUCAACUCUCAUGGUUUGCCAUGAUGAGCUUGGACUUUGGGGGUUUUGCUGGCCUUUGGUCGGCUCCUCUCAAACGGAUCAGCUUUCCAGUGUUUGGUGGCGUCACGGGUGUGAUAACUAUCUACGCCUGUGGUUUUCUGCCAGAUAACCUCCAGCGAUGGAGGUUCGCUGGAGCUCACAAAUGUCUCUCCUCAGCGAAGACAGCUCUUGAACGUUUGAUCUCAAAUCAGGUAGGACUACCCGCUGAACUUAAGCAUAUCAAUAAGCGGAGGA